UUGGGGUUUUUUGUUAUUUGUUUUGGGUUUUUUGGGGGGGGUUGAGGGUUUUUGGGGGAUUUUUUUUGUUUUUGCUAGUAGUUUUGGGUUUUUUUCUUUCUUUACUUAAAAAGAGAAAUUGCUAGGGAAAAGGGAAACGUAAGUAAAUUAUUCAAGUACUGCUUGGUAAAUGGCACUUUUUCUCCUCUGUCAGCAGUUCUGGCUGGAAUUCACAUGUGUUCUCACAAAUCCUCCACUGACUGACAAAUGUAUUUUCAGCCCAUCACUUUGGAUCUGAGCUCUGCACUGGAAGGCAUUGGAAAGUGACUCCCGUGCUGCUGUGGAGAGAUUGGAAUUGGCCCUCCAGAGGCUGUCCAUCAAAGUCAGUCAUUGAAGGGAGGCUAAUUUGAGGCAGCGUGGUGUAAGCAGAGGGUAGUGGCAAGAACUUUAAGUGGUAGAUUAAAUAAAAAUGGAGAGUUUGAAAAUGGAUUUGUACAAUGAACCAGAGCUUGUGUUGAGUACUGAAUUCCAGUAUUAAGGUUGCUGCACGGAUCAUACACCACAUCUUAUUAAAUAUUUUGAGUGUGGUUUUGACCAA